AGUGAACGCUGGCGGCAGGCCUAAUACAUGCAAGUCGAACGGCAGCACAGCAGAGCUUGCUCUGUGGGUGGCGAGUGGCGGACGGGUGAGGAAUACAUGGGAAUCUGCCCAGUCGUGGGGGAUAACGUAGGGAAACUUACGCUAAUACCGCAUGCGCCCUUCGGGGGAAAGCCGGGGACCUUCGGGCCUGGCGCGAUUGGAUGAGCCCAUGUCGGAUUAGCUAGUUGGCGGGGUAACGGCCCACCAAGGCGACGAUCCGUAGCUGGUCUGAGAGGAUGAUCAGCCACACUGGAACUGAGACACGGUCCAGACUCCCACGGGAGGCAGCAGUAGGGAAUAUUGGACAAUGGGCGCAAGCCUGAUCCAGCCAUGCCGCGUGAGUGAAGAAGGCCCUCGGGUUGUAAAGCUCUUUUGUCCGGAAAGAAAAGCACUGGGUUAAUACCCCGGUGUCCUGACGGUACCGGAAGAAUAAGCACCGGCUAACUUCGUGCCAGCCGCCGCCGUAAUAC
rnacentral:rRNA from 1 species